rnacentral:rRNA from 1 species
UUAGUGGCGCACGGGUGAGUAAUAUAUAGAUAAUGUGCCUCUUAGUCUGGGAUAGCCAUUGGAAACGAUGAUUAAUACUAGAUACUCCUUCUUACUCAAAUGUAAGUUGGGAAAGGAACAUCUUUAUGGGGUUUCGCUAAGAGAUCAGUCUAUAUCCCAUCAGGUAGUUGGUAGUGUAAGAGCCUACCAAGCCAAUGACGCCUAGCUGGUCUGAGAGGAUGAUCAGCCACACUGGAACUGAGACACGGACCAGACUCCUACGGGAGGCAGCAGUGGGGAAUAUUGCACAAUGGGGGAAACCCUGAUGCAGCAACGCCGCGUGGAGGAUGACGCAUUUCGGUGUGUAAACUCCUUUUAUGAGUCAAGAAAAUGACGGUAGCUCAUGAAUAAGCACCGGCUAACUCCGUGCCAGCAGCCGCGGUAAUACGGAGGGUGCAAGCGUUAUUCGGAAUCACUGGGCGUAAAGGACGCGUAGGCGGGAUGCCAAGUCUGAUGUGAAAUCCUAUGGCUUAACCAUAGAACUGCAUUGGAAACUGGUAACCUAGAGUGUGGGAGAGGAAGAUGGAAUUAGUUGUGUAGGGGUAAAAUCCGUAGAGAUAACUAGGAAUACCAAAAGCGAAGGCAAUCUUCUGGAACACUACUGACGCUGAGGCGCGAAAGCGUGGGGAGCAAACAGGAUUAGAUACCCAGGUAGUCCACGCAGUAAACGAUGAAUGUUAGUCGUCGGGUAGCUAGUCUAUUCGGUGAUGCAGCUAACGCAUUAAACAUUCCGCCUGGGGAGUACGGUCGCAAGAUUAAAACUCAAAGGGAUAGACGGGGACCCGCACAAGUGGUGGAGCAUGUGGUUUAAUUCGAAGAUACGCGAAGAACCUUACCUAGCCUUGACAUAUAUUAGAACUCCGCAGAGAUGCAGAGGUGCCUUCGGGAGCUUUUAUACAGGUGCUGCACGGCUGUCGUCAGCUCGUGUCGUGAGAUGUUGGGUUAAGUCCCGCAACGAGCGCAACCCUCGUCACUAGUUACUAACGGUUCGGCCGAGGACUCUAGUGAGACUGCCUUGUAAGGAGGAGGAAGGUGAGGACGACGUCAAGUCAUCAUGGCCCUUACGGCUAGGGCAACACACGUGCUACAAUGGUUGGGACAAUGAGACGCA